rnacentral:rRNA from 1 species
CACGCCGUAAACUAUGGAUGCUAGGUGUUUGGUACAUACUGUUUUCAAUCUUCGGAUUCUAGACAGAAGUACUGAGUGCCGCAGCUAACGCGUUAAGCAUCCCACCUGGGAAGUACGGCCGCAAGGCUAAAACUCAAAUGAAUUGGCGGGGACCCGCACAAGCGGAGGAGCGCGUGGUUUAAUUCGAUGGCAAUCGAAGAACCUUACCAGGGUUUGACAUGUAUCUGCAUACCACUAGAAAUAGAGGUAGCCUUUGAGGGUGAUACACAGGUGC